rnacentral:rRNA from 1 species
UGGGGAAUUUUGGACAAUGGACGCAAGUCUGAUCCAGCCAUGCCGCGUGCGGGAAGAAGGCCUUCGGGUUGUAAACUGCUUUUGUACGGAGCGAAAAGGUCUGCCCUAAUACGGUGGGCUCAUGACGGUACCGUAAGAAUAAGCACCGGCUAACUGCGUGCCAGCAGCCGCGGUAAUACGUAGGGUGCGAGCGUUAAUCGGAAUUACUGGGCGUAAAGCGUGCGCAGGCGGUUAUGCAAGACAGAGGUGAAAUCCCCGGGCUCAACCUGGGAACUGCAUUUGUGACUGUAUAGCUAGAGUACGGUAGAGGGGGAUGGAAUUCCGCGUGUAGCAGUGAAAUGCGUAGAUAUGCGGAGGAACACCGAUGGCGAAGGCAAUCCCCUGGACCUGUACUGACGCUCAUGCACGAAAGCGUGGGGAGCAAACA